AAGCAAUUCUCCUGCCUCAGCCUCUCGAGGAGCUGGGAUUACUGGCAUGCACCACCAUGCCCAGCUAAUUUUUGUAUUUUUAGUAGAGAUGGGGUUUCACCAUGUUGGCCAGGCUGGUCUUGAACUCCUGACCUCGUGAUCCACCUGCCUCGGCAUCCCAAAGUGCUGGGAUUACAG
rnacentral:sRNA from 1 species